UUGUAUGUACACCAAGUUUGGGGCUUUACGUGGUGAAUCAGUCUAGGAAGGCCAGAUCUAUGAAUUGAUAGAACAGAUCUGACCUUAGAAGCGAGUUUGAGUGAUUGCAUGGCAUGGACUCGCCGAGUCCGAUGAGCAGACUCGGCGAGUAGCUUGAAGAUUGCCUUGAUUCGGCCAGUGAGUGGUCCAGUCGAGUCAUGGGUUGACUCAGUGAGUCAGGGCGAGUAGGGAAGGGUGGUCAAGAGGACUGAGUCGAGCUGGGACUCGCCGAGUUGUUCUUGAGACUCGGCGAGUUGAGUCGGGGUGGCCCCGCGAUUCUUCCAGGUGGGACUCGUCGAGUCAGGGGGAGUACUCGACGUGUAAGAAGGGAAUCCUAGAGAGUUGGUGAAAACGUCUAGACUCGCCGAGUUGCCCUCGUGCACUCGCCGAGUCCGGUCAAAGUUGACCGUUGACCGUUGACCAGAGUUGACCUGUGUUGACUUCUUAGGGAUAGUCAACCUUAGAGAUAAAAAGUGUUAAUUAGAGACAUAUGAUGUUAUAGGAGGAUUAUAGCUCGGAGGAUCGGGCACGAGGGAUUUCAGGAUUUGUGAGUCAUCGAGAUACGCGAGGUGAGUCUUCUCACUAUACUUUACCUUGAGUAGGUAACCAGAGUUAUGUGACAGAGUAUUGUAUGUUAUGUAUGCUAUAUGUUGUACUGCAUUAUUUCUAUGUGAUUAUGCUGUGCAUGUUUACAGAGUUGGAACCGGAAGGUUCCUAGAGUUAGAACCUGAGGGUUCACAGAGUUUGGGUGCACGGACCCAUAGAGUUAUAGCCUCGAGUGGCUAAAAUGUGUUUUAUGUGUGGUAUUUUGGGGAACUCACUAAGCUUUGUGCUUACAGUGUUAGUGUUGUUGUUUCAGGUACUAGCGAUGACCGUGGGAAGGCGCCGGCUUGAUCUGUACACACGCAUGGGAUUUUGUUAUACUUGUGAUCUUGGGAUUUUGUAUAAUGUGAAUUGAGAUUUAAACUUGAUGUUUUUAUGAAAANAUGAAAAGUUAAUGGGAAACGUUUUUAUAAAGUGUGAAAAAUUAUUUUGGAAAUUUACGGUGUUACAAGUUGGUAUCAGAGCCUUGGUUUGAGGGAUUCAAGUACACCUUCGGGCGUAUUUCAACUCAAACUGAGGAUUUGAGAUGUAUUUUCAAAAAGAGUAAAAGAUUUUUGAAAAACGCAGAGCAAGAGAUGUGUGUACGAUCAGUCAGCGCCCGAACGGUGAUUUCCCAAAAUACCUUUAUAUAUUAUGUGAUAUUGAUAUUGAUAUGAUGUAUCCGCAUGCUAGAGUAGGCUAGGUAUUGCUAUUAGGACUAGAGUGGCCUGAUUUGUGAUGCCUUAGUCUAGGGAGAGGUGAGCUGCUAUGAGAUGCUUGAGAGUGAGGAGAUAGCAGCGAGGGGCUUAUGAAAGAUCUAUUAGAGAGUGUUCUACGCAUGAUAGAGUACUGGAGACUUGGGAUCCGAAGAGGAGGACUUGGAGUUUAUUCUGGUGCGGUGCGGACAGUGGUAUUGGGCCCGUACUACUGGAAGCACCGGAGCGGUAUGCAGCCCAAGUAAGAAUCUUUGGAAUACCAAGAAUCAAGGAGGAAAGAGUUGUCGAGUGUGAGUAUGCUCGUGUGGAUUCUGAUUUUCGUAUGUUGUAUUUCAGAGGUAGAUCAUGGUGAGGACACGUUUGAUGCCCGAGAGCAGUGGUACCAGUGAGGAGGAGAUCCGCCAGAUCAUCCAGGAGAAGGUGGUUGCGGCCAUCAGGGCGGUGAUACCGGAGAUGUUUGGGUCUAUAAACACCACACUGAUUGAGACGUUUGAUGAGCAUUAUGCCGCUCUAUCUGAGGCUGCUGUUGCAGCGGCUACCGCAGCGAUUGCUGCUGCGAGGCCGCAGGGUGGUGAUGCGUUGCUGUUUCGGGAGUUCAGCAAUACCAAACCACCAGAGUUUGAUGGGACUCAGGAUCCGGUGGCAGCUAUGAGGUGGAUAUCUGAUAUUGAGGGGUGUUUCUUCACUUGCUCUUCUCCUGAGCAUUUGAAGGUUCGGUUCGCGCUGAACCAGCUUCGCUUGGGAGCGAAGGACUGGUGGAAGUUUGUGACGGCGCACUAUACGCCUGCUGAGCUUUUUGCGGUGACCUGGGAGAGGUUCACUACCAUGUUCCGGGAUGAGUACGUUCCCCAGGUGGAGAGGGAGCGUUUAGCACAGGAGUUUCUGACCCUCAAGCAGGGUACUGAGUCAGUUACAACGAUCACGAGGAUGUUCCAUGAGAGGUCGAUGUUCUGCCCUGAGCACGUGUCCACUGAGCAGGCACGUAUGAGCCGCUACUUGAGCAUUUUGAGGCGGGAUAUUCGGGAGUUCGCUGCGAACUCCUCGUACCGGACAUUUGCUGAGCUUCAGGCAAAUGCCCGGAAGAGGGAGAUUGAGCUUGAGACUCAGGCCAGGGAGGAGGCGGAGUCUCAGGGGAGGGAUCGGCGACCGGCACAGUCUCAGCCGGCAGCCAAGCGGGCCAAGCCCGCUGAUCCCAAACCAGGGAGGCAGAAGAGCCGCACUUGCGGGAAGUGCGGCAAGGGUCAUGAUGGAGUCUGCCGAGCGGGAUCUUGCUACAAAUGUGGCAAGGAGGGGCAUAUGGCCAAGGACUGCCCCAAGGGGUUUGCAGUGUGUUUUCACUGCAACCAGACCGGACACCGGAAGGCCGAGUGUCCGCAGUUGCGCGGAGCAUCUCAGGGAUCUGCUCCUGCCGCCAUCAGAGCUACAGAGAGUCGGCCUGUGAAGGCCGAGGCGCCGAGAGCUCGAGGGAGAGCCUUCCAGCUGACUGCGGAGGAGGUCCGCGCUGCGCCCGAUGUUGUGGCUGGUAUGUUUCCUUUCAUGUAUUUAUUUUGAUGUUGAGAUAUUAUGCUUAUAUUAUGUUAUGCGUAGGUACUUUCCUUGUGAACUCUGUACCUGCUUUAGUGUUAUUUGACUCGGGUGCGAGUCGGUCUUUUGUAUCUUUGGCCUUUAGUCAGCAUAUCAGUGUUAGUCGUGAGGCAUUGAGUCGGCCUCUGAGAGUUUCCAUAGCUGAUGAUAGAGUGAUUUGUGCCACGGAGGUUUUCCGGGGAUGUGUGUUAGAGAUUUUCGGGGUUGAGUUUCCGAUUGAUCUGAUUCCUAUUGCGAUGGGUGAUGUCUGUGUCAUUGUGGGCAUGGACUGGUUGAGCCGAUUCGGCGCGGUUAUCGACUGUGAGCGUCAGCUGGUGACCAUACGAGACCCUAGUGGGGGAGUUCUUUCAGUGUACGGCGAGGGUACACGUUCAGGAUCAGCUUUUUGUUCGGCCGCUAGGGCGAGGCAGUGUCUACAGCAGGGCUGUAAGGGUUUUGUGGCGUAUGUGAUGGAUACGCGGGUGGCUUCCGAGAGACCGAGUUCAGUUGAGGAGGUUCCGGUGGUGCGUGAGUUUCCAGAUGUUUUUCCCGAGGAGUUACCGGGUGUGCCUCCUGUGAGGCAAGUGGAGUUCAGUAUUGAUUUGGUUCCGGGGGCCGCACCUAUCGCUAAGGUGCCUUAUCGUCUUGCACCUCCAGAGAUGCAAGAGUUGUCCUCGCAGCUUCAGGAGUUGCUGGGGAAGGGAUUCAUUCGGCCGAGCAGCUCGCCGUGGGGAGCACCUAUUCUGUUCGUCAAGAAGAAGGAUGGUUCACACCGGAUGUGUAUUGAUUACCGGGAGUUGAACAAGCUGACGGUCAAGAACCGUUACCCGUUGCCGAGGAUCGACGAUUUAUUCGAUCAGUUGCAGGGAGCAUCUUGGUUUUCCAAGAUCGAUUUGAGGUCGGGAUAUCAUCAGGUGAGAGUGCGGGAUGAGGACGUCCAGAAGACAGCGUUCAGGACGCGAUAUGGGCAUUAUGAGUUUGUGGUGAUGCCUUUCGGGCUCACCAAUGCCCCGACUGUGUUCAUGGAUCUCAUGAACAGGGUAUGCAGGCCGAUGUUGGAUCGGUCGGUGAUUGUAUUUAUCGAUGAUAUUCUGGUAUAUUCGAGAUCUAGAGAGCAGCAUGAGGAGCAUUUGAGGGAGGUCCUUGGGGUUUUGAGAUCGGAGAAGCUUUAUGCAAAGUUCUCCAAGUGUGAUUUCUGGUUGCGGGAGGUCCAGUUCCUAGGACAUCUUGUUAACCAGGAAGGGAUUCUGGUCGAUCCGGCCAAGGUUGAGGCGGUGAUGAGUUGGGAGGUGCCGAAGUCACCAUCUGAGAUCAGGAGUUUCCUUGGGUUGGCAGGGUAUUAUCGGAGAUUUAUCAAGGAUUUCUCCAAGAUCGCAGUGCCACUCACCAGAUUGACCCGGAAGGGUGUUGCAUUCUCAUGGGGUCCCGAGCAGCAGACCUCCUUUGAGACACUUCGCCAAAGGUUGUGCGAAGCCCCGGUAUUAGCUCUCCCGGAAGGGAUGGAGGAUUUUGUAGUAUAUUGUGAUGCAUCGAUUUUGGGGCUGGGUGCGGUGUUGAUGCAGAGGGGUCAUGUGAUAGCAUAUGCAUCGAGGCAGCUGAAGCCUCAUGAGACGAGAUAUCCCACGCAUGAUCUAGAGUUGGGGGCAGUAGUGUUCGCCCUCAAGAUUUGGCGUCACUACUUGUAUGGGGUUCGGUGUACGAUAUACACGGACCAUAAGAGUUUGAAGUACUUGAUGGAUCAGCCCAACCUAAAUAUGCGUCAGAGGAGGUGGUUGGAUGUGGUCAAGGAUUAUGAUUGUGAGAUCCUGUACCACCCAGGCAAGGCUAAUGUGGUAGCCGAUGCGUUGAGCCGCAGGGCGGAGAGCACUCCACUGCGAGAUGUAUGUUUGAGAUUGACCGUGAUAGCUCCGGUAUUGGAUGCCAUUCGUGGGGCACAGGCCGAGGCUGUGCAACCGGAGAUGCAGAAGAGGGAACGGGUCGUUGGUUUGGUUUCAGAGUUCGUUACGGAUGGUCGAGGGCUUAUGACUUUUCAGGGUCGGAUUUGGGUACCGUUUGUGGGCGGUACGCGUACUACUUUGAUGGAAGAGGCUCAUCGGUCGAAAUUUUCGAUCCAUCCGGGGGCCACGAAGAUGUAUUUGGAUUUGAGGAAAGAGUAUUGGUGGCCCUGUAUGAAGAGGGACGUCGCAUGGUUUGUUGAGAGGUGCUUGACCUGUCGUAGGGUUAAGGCCGAGCACCAGAGACCGCAUGGCAAGUUGCAGCCAUUGGAGGUUCCCGAGUGGAAGUGGGAACAGAUCACUAUGGAUUUCAUCACCAAAUUGCCGAGGACUGCCAGAGGAGUUGAUGCAAUUUGGGUGAUUGUGGAUAGGUUGACGAAGAGCGCUCACUUCCUUGCCAUCAGUGAGAGUUCUUCAGCGGAGAAGUUGGCGGAGAUAUAUGUGAGAGAAGUGGUAUCUCGGCAUGGGGUGCCGAUCUCGAUUGUUUCAGACCGUGAUGUGCGCUUCACUUCCAGAUUCUGGAAGAAAUUCCAUGAGGAGCUGGGUACUAAAUUGCAUUUUAGUACCGCAUACCAUCCCCAGACAGACGGUCAGAGCGAGCGAACGAUUCAGACGCUGGAGGACAUGCUUCGAGCGUGUGUGUUAGAUUUCGGGGGUAGCUGGGAUGCGUAUUUACCCUUGGCAGAGUUUUCCUACAACAACAGCCAUCAUUCGAGCAUUGGUAUGCCACCCUUUGAGCUGUUGUAUGGUAGGAGGUGUCGGACCCCCAUUUGCUGGGGAGAGGUUGGGCAGAGAGUGAUGGGCAGUACAGAGAUCGUGCUUCAGACGACAGAGCAGAUUCAGCAGGUCAGACAGAGGUUAUUGACCGCCCAGAGCCGACAGAAGAGUUAUGCAGACAGACGCCGGUCCGAGCUUGAGUUUCAGGUCGGCGACUUCGUUCUCCUGAAGGUCUCUCCUUGGAAAGGAGUGAUUCGAUUCAGGAAGAGGGGCAAGUUGGGGCCCCGGUAUAUUGGGCCAUUUCGUGUGAUUGCAAGGAUAGGUCGGGUAGCCUAUCGGUUGGAGUUGCCAGCGGAGUUGGGACAGAUCCACGACACUUUUCAUGUGUCGCAAUUGAGGAAGUGCAUAGCCGAUGAGUCGGCAGUGGUUCCAUUGGAGGAUAUUCAGGUGGAUGCGAGCCUGAAUUAUGCUGAGAGACCAGUGGCCAUCAGGGAUCGGAAGAUCAAGGUUCUGAGGAACAAGGAGGUACCUCUGGUGUUGGUUCAGUGGCAACACCGGAAGGGAUCGGAAAUGACUUGGGAGCCGGAGCGUGAGAUGCGGGAGCAGCAUCCGGAGCUAUUUUCAGAGCGAGACUUCGAGGGCGAAGUCUAGUUCUAGUGGGGGAGAAUUGUAACAGCCCGGAUUUCCAGGUAUCUUUAUUGUUUAUGAUUUUGGUGUUUUGAGAGGGGACUCGGCGAGUUGGAGCUCAGACUCGCCGAGUAGGGACGCGAUUCUGGACGCGGGAUUCGCCUGGACUCGGCGAGUCCAGGAUAUGGACUCGGCGAGUCCGCGCUGUUUAAUGAAACCCUAAUUUCUCGGGUUUGGGACCUAUUUAAAGGGCCUUAUGGCCGUCAUUUGUACUCACCAGUCCAUAGAGAGAAACCCUAGAGUGCUUUAGCGAUUUGAGAGAGAAAGGAAGCAUUUCUUGACCUUUGUGUGUUGUUUAGCAAAGAAGAGGGAGGUUCUAGCCAAGAGGAGGCAAAGGAGGUUGCUAUUCUGUGGAUUUGAAGCUUAGAUCUUCGAUCUAAAGGUAUGAUUUCGGCUCAUCUUCUGUUUUGUGAAGUAUAUUUGGUUUUAGGGUUUCUUGUGGCCUUUGUUGGGUUGAUUUGAUGGCCAAAUAGUCCCUUGCUAGUGAUGAGGCUUUGGAUCUGGAUCCAUAGAGGUCCAGAGAGCCUCAUUCAUCAAGCUUUAUGAAGAACAAUGGAGGUUAUGACCUUGAGUUGUGAUAUUUGUUGAUAAUUCUUCAUAUAUGGACAUAUAGAGGUUGUAUGUACACCAAGUUUGGGGCUUUACGUGGUGAAUCAGUCUAGGAAGGCCAGAUCUAUGAAUUGAUGGAACAGAUCUGACCUUAGAAGCGAGUUUGAGUGAUUGCAUGGCAUGGACUCGCCGAGUCCGAUGAGCAGACUCGGCGAGUAGCUUGAAGAUUGCCUUGGAUCGGCCAGUGAGUGGUCCAGUCGAGUCAUGGGUUGACUCAGUGAGUCAGGGCGAGUAGGGAAGGGUGGUCAAGAGGACUGAGUCGAGCUGGGACUCGCCGAGUUGUUCUUGAGACUCGGCGAGUUGAGUCGGGGUGGCCCCGCGAUUCUUCCAGGUGGAACUCGUCGAGUCAGGGGGAGUACUCGACGUGUAAGAAGGGAAUCCUAGAGAGUUGGUGAAAACAUCUAGACUCGCCGAGUUGCCCUCGUGCACUCGCUGAGUCCGGUCAAAAUUGACCGUUGACCGUUGACCAGAGUUGACCUGUGUUGACUUCUUAGGGAUAGUCAACCUUAGAGAUAAAAAGUGUUAAUUAGAUACAUAUGAUGUUAUAGGAGGAUUAUAGCUCAGAGGAUCGGGCACG
rnacentral:lncRNA from 1 species